AAUAAUAUACAAUUGUACAUACAUAUAGAUAUUCAAUACAUAAGUCUCAUCCACCAAAACUAACAUCUAAGUUAACCUAAGCAACCAUAUGAUGUUCAUACGUAUAAAGACAAGACAAACUAAUUAAGCUAAGCAAUCCUCUGCCAUUUUCCAAACCAAUCCAGCAUCUCUUUCAUGUUUUCAAGAAGUCCCUGAAAAAUUAAAAAUAGAAAAUCAAGGUAGUAAUAUUAUGCAUAUAUAUGGAGAGUAUUGAAAGUGGCCUGAUACUUGUGAAAGAGAUAACCAUAAACAUAUAGGAAUCAAAAUCCUAGCCAAAAGAAAGUAUUUAUGUGAUUGGUAAGCAUGUAAUGACAUGAAGAUUUGGUUUAAUUGAAGUUUGAGACACUAACAAACCUUUGCCUUGGUCUAACACUUUAAAUCUAAUUGUGGCCGAAGAGAGAGAUGACCAGCAAUUCGUUUUCCAAGGAACCAUGGCAUGCACUGUAGCAGAGAAAAAAAUAGAAAAACAGAACUAUAACAUGAACCCAAACCAGAGCAGGGUAUAUACAGCAGACAAAUAUGCAAAUCCAAUUUUGUAACUUACCCAAUUUUGUUUCAUGCCUUAUCCACCUUCCCCCGAGGAUAACAUUUGUGAACAUAUAUUCUGCCGAGUAAGGGAGUAUGUGCAGGUCAUGAAAAUCAACGCAAGUAUGGAGGNNGUGUGGCUGGUUGUGGUGGUGUUGUGAAACUAAACUCAUGACUAAUACUUAGUCACCAAAACAAACAGUUUAAACUAUUUGUGCAUUAUGCUAAUAAAUCCUACAAAGUUUAACAUGUUUUCUUUGCUUUACGCAGUUUUCUUAUCUAGCUAAAAACUACCUGUGUACUUGUCCAAAAGGGAAAUACAGAACUCCCAUCUAAACUAAACAUGUUCCCAAUAGGUUAAUCAAGUAUGUGCAAUUUGAGAAUCAAGUGAAUUCAUCUCAUAGGCCUAAUAUGCACAACUCCUCAUAUGCAACCCACAUUAGAGGAUCCAUCGAUAGUGCCUGUCUUAAAUUAAAAGAAUAGUAUGCUGAUCACUUACAACACUUACACUUACAUAAGAUAUUCAUUGAACUUAUACAACACUUACACUUGAAAAUUCAGUCUCAGAUGUAAUAGAAUUCAACUUUAAGCUUAAAAAAUUAUAUGUGUUUGUGCACACAUAGAGUGGUAAUGCCGAAAUACUAGCCCAUUGUAAUACCGAAAUUAUGUAAUUAAAUGUUAUAACACUUAAGCCUAUCUAAAGUAACUAAAUGUUAUAACACUUAUAAGCCAUCACAUACAGAAUACAACACAGAUGAAAUUUCAACUAGCAAAAUAGCAAGAAAAGUUUAAUCUAGAACCAAAGGACAUAGCAAGCAAUGGGGGCCUUAAAGUGGAGUCAUUACCUCUGAACUUCUUCUGAGAACAACUUAUCAGACUUGCAUUUUAACAUUCCAUUAAACUUGAAGGAAGAGAAUAAAUCUUUUAGAGAGGAUGACGACCGAAGAUUUUUGACCACCUCCUAACAAGCGGUUGCGCUAAUGUUAGGUUUACUCUCAAACACAUGAAUCUCAAUAACUCCUAGAACCUCAAUAGGCUUCUUCUAAACUGAUAAGAUAAAAAAAUAAGAGAAUAAUAACAAAGUUUUCUACUUUAAAAAAAAUAAUGAGUUUUAUUAUAGAAUCACCUGACCAAUAAUUUCAACUUUCAAUUAAGUAGUGCAAACCUGAAAAUAUUGAUAAAUAAUGAGCUAUAUAAUCUCCCCAUGUGAUAACAAGCUGCAGAGUAUAAUGUUAUGUUAUAGAUGCACCCUUGCUAAACCCUCCAGUCCUAACUUUCAUUGUCACAUAAUGAAGAAAACAACUCAUCAUUCAAAAAGGAGAUCAAUAAAAUUGGAACCCUAAGCAAUGGAACCACAAAAAUUGAAUGACAAAAUUCUGAAAUUCAGAUCUUCCAUAAAAACGUGAAAGUUUAGGUCACCGGGAUAAAGUUUAAUAUCUUCACAAUAGAAAGAAAAAACAUUGAAACAAAAAUAUAUACAAAAUGCAAAGAAACAAGUCUUUGAACAAAUCGAUACAAAAGUGGCCAAUAUCUAAACAAAAUCCAAAAACACCAAACCACAAAACAACUAGCCAAAACACCCCAACAAGAACCACAUCAGUGCAGAACUAUAAAUCAAACUACAAAACUACCAACAAC
rnacentral:lncRNA from 1 species